rnacentral:lncRNA from 1 species
UUUUAACUCUUUUAACUCUGCUGGCGCCAUCCUGUAGGGAGGAAUAGAGAUAGGUCUGGUACCUGGCAGCAAUUCGAUUUCAAACCCUAUCUCCCUAACAGGUGGUAGUCCUGGCAAAUCGUCUGGGAACACAUCGAGAAACUCUCGGACUACUGGUACUGUGGCUGGUUCCCUCACCUGACUGUCUAGCUCUCUCACAUGAGCUAGAAACCCCUGAC